AGUGAACGCUGGCGGCGUGCCUAAUACAUGCAAGUCGAACGGAGUGGCGCACGGGUGAGUAAUAUAUAGCUACUCUGCCCCUUGCUGGAGGACAACAGUUAGAAAUGACUGCUAAUACACCAUAGAAAGGGAUGAGACUAUAACGUAUCAGCUAGUCGGUUGGGUAACGGCCUACCGAGGCUAUGACGCGUAACUGGUCUGAGAGGAUGAUCAGUCACAUUGGAACGGAGACGCGGUCCAAACUCCUACGGGAGGCAGCAGUAGGGAAUAUUGCGCAAUGGGGGAAACCCUGACGCAGCAACGGCGCGUAGAGGAUGGCACUUUUCGGAGCGGAAACUACUUUUGUAAGGGAAGCGGUACCUAACGAAUAAGCACCGGCUAACUCCGUGCCAGCAGCCGCGGUAAUUC
rnacentral:rRNA from 1 species